UUCUUUCUUUCUUUCUUUUUUUUAAUCCCUCUCUCCUUCUAUGCAGAAGUGCAAGGUAUGUCUUCAGUAGGUUCACCAGGCUUAGUAGUUAGUGGAGGAGGCUUCUGAACAGGGGCCGGCUUCACCCAAGGGGAAGGCUUACAUGGCCUGUUUGGACGCACCUGAUCAACUUUCUCCCAUUCAAUUUCAAACUUGUAACCAUAACCGGCUACACAGGCAUGGAAGCAUUCCUCAGAAUAACUUGCAGCUCCAGGAGAUCGAUCAAUGUAAGCACUCCACUGCUGAUCCUUCAAUACAGGGUCCUUAUAGCAUAUGUCAUCACACUCUCCCAAACAUGGAAUCCGUAUGAGAGCGGCAUAUUUGUGAGUGCAUUGACUGCCACAAGGUUGAGCCCAUUGCUGGGGUAGCAUUUCUCUUCCUUUCUCUUCCUU
rnacentral:misc_RNA from 1 species